rnacentral:rRNA from 1 species
CAGUAGCCGCGGUAAUACGAAGGGGGCUAGCGUUGCUCGGAAUGACUGGGCGUAAAGGGCGCGUAGGCGGCGAUCAAAGUCAGGCGUGAAAUUCCUGGGCUCAACCUGGGGGCUGCGCUUGAUACUUGGUUGCUUGAGUGGGGAAGAGGGUCGUGGAAUUCCCAAUGUAGAGGUGAAAUUCGUAGAUAUUCGGAAGAACACCAGUGGCGAAGGCGGCUUACUGGCUCAUACUGGACGCUGAGGUGCGAAAGCGUGGGGAGCAAACAGGAUUAGAUACCCCCGUAGUCCCUGUCUCUUAUAC